AAUGAACGCUGGCGGCGUGCUUAACACAUGCAAGUCGCACGAGAACGCUUCAGCUUGCUGAGGCAAGUAAAGUGGCGCACGGGUGAGUAACGCGUGGGUAAUCUACCUCUGAAUUGGGGAUAACAUUGCGAAAGCGGUGCUAAUACCGAAUAAUAUCAUCAGGGCCCCGGCCUUGGUGAUCAAAGGUGGCCUCUACAUGUAAGCUACUGUUUAGAGAUGAGCCCGCGUACCAUUAGCUUGUUGGUAGGGUAACGGCCUACCAAGGCUGCGAUGGUUAGCUGGUCUGAGAGGAUGAUCAGCCACACUGGAACUGACACACGGUCCAGACUCCUACGGGUGCAG
rnacentral:rRNA from 1 species